GCGGGUGUAGCUCAGGCGGAAGAGCGUCUGACUGUGGAUCAGAUAGUCGCCGGUUCGAGUCCGGCCACUCGCC
rnacentral:tRNA from 1 species